GACGAACGCUGGCGGCGUGCUUAACACAUGCAAGUCAAGGGGGCGGAGCAAUCCGCAACCGGCGAACGGGUGCGUAACACGUGAGCAACCUGCCGAUCUGUGGGGGAUAGCCGGCCCAACGGCCGGGUAAUACCGCAUACGCUCUCUGCGAGGAGUCUCGCGGGGAGGAAACCUCCGGGGUGGAUCGAGGGGCUCGCGGCCUAUCAGCUAGUUGGUGCGGUGAUGGCGCACCAAGGCGACGACGGGUAGCUGGUCGGAGAGGAUGGCCAGCCACAUUGGGACUGAGAAACGGCCCAGACUCCUACGGGAGGCAGCAGUGGGGAAUCUUGCGCAGUGGCCGAAAGGCUGACGCAGCGACGCCGCGUGUGGGAGGACGCCCUUCGGGGUGUAAACCACUGUUGCCCGGGACGAACUUCUGGUUUCGACCAGAUUGACGGUACCGGGUGAGGAAGCACCGGCUAACUCCGUGCCAGCCGCCGCCGUAAUAC
rnacentral:rRNA from 1 species